rnacentral:rRNA from 1 species
GCUGUUAAGGGUUCGUAGUUGAAUUGUGGGCCGCCGAGAGGACGGAUCAGUCCUACCCUCGGGUCAGCGACCUCCGCACUUGGGGCUCGAGAACAUUCGAAACUACCAUCACGGGAGCGUUUUCCCCCACCUACGCGCGCAAUGUGCGCAGGGGGACGCCUGUGUUUCUUUACUGUGCUAAAAAAGGGCGACCAAAGCAGUCCAUCGACAUGAAUUAGAAAGCAUGGGAUAACAAAGCGCAGCCUACGGUUUCUCGCUUUUGUUGGUUUUACAGGUCUGUGGGAGAUUAUGGGCGCGCUGACCAGCGGUUCGGGGCUCGUCCCCACGCCUCCGUAAGUCUGAUUGGCCUUCUGGGUCAUGGCUUGCGGUUUGCGACGUCCAGGAAUGAAGGAGGGUUGAUCGGGGGAGAACGUCUUGAGCGUGAGAGGUGAAAUUCUGAGACCGCUCAAAGACGAACUACAGCGAAGGCAUUCUCCAGGAUACCUCCCUCAAUCAAGAACCAAAGUGUGGAGAUCGAAGAUGAUUAGAUACCUUGUAGUCCGUU